rnacentral:lncRNA from 1 species
GGCUUUUCUGUUGGGCUUCAUUACUAUAUGUCGGUGUUUCACAGAGCCGUGCUGAGACAGCCACCCAAGACCAACUGGAAGGUGCAUGGGAUUUACGCCACGUGUUAUCUUGUGAUUUGCCUGUUUGCUACAGCUGAGAGGAGGAAGAAGGCUUACUUGGAAGAGGGGGGUGAAGAGGGCAAGAAGAGCUAAUUUUGUUGAAUAAAAAUUAGUGGGUUAAAAACCAAUCAAAUUCUUGGUAUACAAAGUGAAAAAUCACCUCCUAUUUUCACCUCUCUUUUAUUAUAGUAGUUUUUUGUUUUUAUUUUUUUAGAUUUAGGAAGAAUUUAUUAUUUAUCCUGCCAUAAGCUCUGGUGGCAUGUAAUACCAUUGGCCAAGAACCCUGGUGUUAUGAAAUAAAUUAUGCAAUUGGGAC